AAGUCGUAACAAGGUAACCGUAGGUGAACCUGCGGUUGGAUCAUUAACAAUUUUAGCAUGAGCUUGUCUUUGGACAAGCACCUGCAAAAAUCAUUCACCUUUUGUGCACUGUAUGUCUCUGGCGGCUGGGGCAACGCAGGCUGGUUUGCAUGCAUUGCUCUGUCAGCUUGGUUCUAUUUUGGGCCAAGCCGUGGACAACCCGCCAACCACUGCUUAACUCACUGUUUUAAACUGCUGUCUAACACAUCACUUUGUAUUAAUCAUACAAUAAAACUUUUGGCAACGGAUCUCUUGGCUCUC
rnacentral:misc_RNA from 1 species